AGAGAAGGCAUGAGCCACUGUCUGAGCCAGCAUCAGAGCGAGUAAAGGGAUGGAGUCUGGCCUGUUACAGGGCAGGGAACUGUCGUAGCAGCCAACGCUGACCCUGUGCUGCAGCUGCAGAGAGGACUGUGGUCUGAGUGCUGCCUGUCAUGUGUGCUGCCCUGGCAGGAUUUAAAAAGAAGAAAGGAGAGAAAGGGAUUCCUGCUCCAUUGUCCUUCUGCAAGUGGAAAAGGGCUGAACUAAUUCAAACCAAACUCAGAACAGAAACUCCUCCCAGGCGGAGACAUUUUUCUGUCAAGUUUCAGCCCUGGGAGAAUUUUUACAGCUGAGCAAUAAACUCUUGAAACAGAGGUUAAGGGCCUCACUCGCUCCAGGCUCCUAAUACAAGGAGCAGCGCAGAGCAAUGCACAUUCUUUAAUCCAUAGGAAUGUGUCAGGCUGGCAGGAAGCUGAAGGUGCCAGGGGAUGGAGAGGGUUAAUCACCGCAAUUGCCCAACAGACAUUUCCUAACAUUGUCACUUUUUACCCACAAGUUACAAUUCCUCUGUUACUAUAGAGGCAAGAUGUUGAUACUGGAUUCAUUUUCUGGGUUUUAUUCCUUUUUGUCAUUUUUCCCAUGAACUAAUAAGCCACAGUGGAUUUGAAAGUAUGAGCAAAUGUGAACAUUAUACAAAGCACUUUUAUGUUCUAUUGACAUUUUCUUCCCACCCUAAUAAUUUAGAGCUGUUAACAUAAAAAAAAAAUUAAGAUGAUCAUACUUCCCAUCACUUUCAUUUCCCAAGUCUAUGAAGGAAGAAUCAUGAGUAAUUUCCCAUAGUUAUUGUUUGCAGCACAACACAUGGUCUCAAUUACUGGGAUAAGAAACAUGGAGAGGGUAUUGGUGAGGAUAAAUGAUUUAUCUGUGCAUUUCAUUCAAAAUUCAUUUUCCAUGCCAUAGUUUAUAUUAUAUUGAUCAACCAUCAUCUUUCUUAUUUCACUUUAUAAACAUAACCCAGCUAUUCUGAGCAGGGCACCGGGUUACAAGAGAUCAGUUUGCUGAUAUAUUUCUGGAGCAGUGAAGCACACAGAGUGACCCUUGAUCAAACCUACCUGCCAUUAAAGGAGUCUGCUCAAACGGGCAUCUCUGGACAGAUCUGUACUAAGAGGGCACAAAAUAACUCUUUGCCCAUAGCCAAUCUCAGCAGUGUGAGCUCCAUCUGUGGAGCAGAUGUACGUCAGCCUCGUGGUUUGUCGCUCCUGCACAGGUAGCAGGCAGGUAUGGUCAGUGUGUGACAGUGCUGACCAGCACAUGCUGUAAAGCAAUGGCUUCAGCACAUACCAGAGCAGCUUGGAUGUGGCAGAACUAUCAUUUCAGGACUUUGAUCUUGCAGUGGAUUUGAACAGCAUUGCGCUGCCUGGCUGAGAUGAGUUGAUGGCACAGCUGAAAUUCACAGCAAACAGAGAAUUCUGUUUCUUGCAGACUUUGCAGGGGUCAGGGUUUAGCCCCGCUGACUUUAAUACCAGGAUUCCGUGCUCUUUCACCCCACCUUCCUGAUGCUCAAAGUGCAAUGAGCUGCUUCUCUCAUAGGACUAACCUUGGAUAGGGAUGAUGAGGAACACAAGGGGACUGCUUAGGCGGCUGGUAAAGAGGUCCCACUUAGUAAAUCCUUUACCAUUUCUCUAAUUUUCAAAUGAAUUCCAGGCUGUUCUGUGGAGAACCCAGAGCUGUGCUAUUUGUUAGCUUGAAUGAAUCGAACACAACUAAUUGGCCUUUUCCGCCAGAGCGUUGUGCAACUCCUGCCAGACUUGGCCUUCAACCUGGGCCCAGCGGUUGUGUUGAGACCCACAAUUUCCUCCCAUGGUUUUAUCUAUGCUGUCAUUGUGGAGAAGAAAAUGCUCUGGUUCCCAGCAUAUUCAGAAAUAGAGGAGCGUGUAGCAGACUAUGUGUAGACAACAACAUGAUCUUUCGUAAAUUCAGCCUUAUAAAUGAUGUAAUCAAAUUACAGGGGCAAACAAACAGCGGGCAAGUUCACGCAGUUGGCUUAGUUGAAAUACAGUUCUACUUCCUGAUAAGAAGCAUCUUGUCUGUGCUCUGAAAGCACUCUGAGAGCAUGCACGGUGCUAUUUUUCAGCCUUUUCUUUUCUUUUCUUUUUUUUUUUUUUUUUGCACUUCCCCAUCAUUGCUAGGUGCUGCUUUCAGCUCUAAUCUGUGCAAUAUGGACACGACACAGUGAUUAAAAAUGAAGAAUGGGUCCGUUUAGGCAGCUUUUCUCACACUCCCCUCCAUCCCUCCAUCCCAAAGCUUUCUUGGCUUUAGCAGAACAGUCACUGGUGUAACACAUGGCAGCAUCUCAUCUCCAGGGUGAUUUGAUGUAAAAGCAUUACGGAAAGUGCUUCAUAUCUUCUACUGGGGCUACUUCCUAGUGCUAGGAGAACUUGGGAAAAGCACUGAGAUCUCUUACAGUGGCAGAUUUGAAAAGUGCAAUUAAAUAUUGAUAGUGAAAAUCUUUUGGUGACGGGUUUUAUGCCUUUGGCAGUACAGUUUCAACACGGGGAGCGGGUAAUCUGUUAAACCCUCUCUUGCCUCAUUACACUUUUGAAUUCAAAAUGAGAAAUUGUCUGUAAGGAUUUAUUAAUCUACACUCAGUACUUGCUAAGGUCACACAAUGAUCUGGUUCUGAUGUGCUUUGGGGAUUUUUCUGUUUGACUCAUUUGGUAACUGCUUACCCACCCCUCAAAUAGGCUGCACCCUCCGAAGAGGAGCCACAGUGAGCCACAGUCCCCCGGCCCUUAAACCACAACAAGCAGAUUAAACUUUUGUCCAACAAAAUGUUUUUUUCCUACUGAAUAUUCGCACAAUUUCUUGAUUUGAAAACUGAAAAUAAUUUCUAGAACAUAUUUUCCAGUUCUGCUUGCAGUAUCACAAAUGUAACUACCCUCAGAAGGACAAUUUUUGCACUGGAAAGACAGGUACCAGAUUUUGCUCAUCUUAAAGACCUUGCCUUCCACAUCCAUCCUGCAAACCAGCCAUGCCUGGAUCACAUCUGUGAGCUUGGAGCAGCUGAAAUAACUAUACCUUGCCCAGCUGAGUAAGAGACUAUUUUUUGCUAGUGGAGAUGGGAGCUGGUAAGCAAGCAGGAGAGCUUUGCCCCAUGCAAUGACCUCUGCCUCUGGAUUGGGAUGAAAUGGGUGAGCUUGAGUCUUUGCUCAUUCAUGAAGGAAUGAACACAGCAGGAAGGCGGCAAAGAGGGAGAAGUAAUAGUUUGCUUGACUGCACACAGAACGAAACCUAGACAAAUAUAGCAAGUGUGUGAUAGUUAUCCAUGUACCAAAGCUUGAAAUUCUGCGUUCCUCUCUGCUCUUCUUUUUGUCAUUUUAACCACCUUCCUUGCUAUGCUUUUUACCUAAGGAAUUUCCUUGUUGCCCUUUUAACAGUGGAGAACCUAGGCCAGGGAUAUCACUGCCAAGGCCCCAAAGCCUGCUGGUCCCAGAGCUCCCCACUGGGCCCCAGUUCCAGUAACCCACUUGCUUGUUGGCCCAGGAGCACCAGCUGAGGGAGUAGGCUUUGCACUAAAGCUUGUAGCCUGGUGGAGCUGGCUACCACGAGAGCAGAUGGCUGUUGAUACAUGUCAAAAAACUUCUGAGCAGCCUUCCUGCAGCCAGCAGAGUCAGUGCUGCUGAGUUGCUAUUCCCUUUCUCCUUUCUCCUCGUUUCCUGUUGUUUCAGCUUUGCACUGAUGUGAAUACAGACUGACAGUGCGGUUCCUUGUCUGCUCUGCGCUGGCACCUUCCUUCUCCCUUCCUGCCCAUCCCUCCAGUCACGUGUUCCUCAAAGCAGCAGCAAAUUGUGCUAUCACCUUCUUCUCUGGAUUCAGCACUUACAUUCCCAGUUCAGCUGUUCAUAUUUUGCCUGGUAGUUGGAGCCAGAUCCUGCUCAAAUAUUUUCCAUCUACAGUUUAUGUUUGGCACAAAAAGAAUCUCAUGAUCAAGGGGUUUAAUGAUGAUACAUACUUUUUUAUUUAAAAGGACAAGUUUCUGUCUGGAGAUCCCUUUAAAACUCCUGAAGGAAUCUAAAGAAAUCUGCAUGAAGAAGUCUUCUGAGCUCUUUUCUGUCUUCCAGGUAUCCGUGCAGUGGCAGACCUGGCAGGACUGGCAAGACGACACCUGUAGCCCCAUUGGACACCUCUGGGCUGAGAACUGAUGCUGCAGUGCUCUGAAUUGGAGGGGUUCGUUGAAGCAACAGUGACUUAACAUCCACUUCUGCAUGCUCUGGCCGUCAAAGUUACUGACUGA